rnacentral:tRNA from 1 species
GCGUCGGUGGUUCAGUGGUAGAAUACUCGCCUCCCACGCGGGUGGCCCGGGUUGGAUUCCCGGCCGACGCA